UACAACCAUAUCACAUUGAAACAUUGGUUCCCGUACGAUCACCGAAGUUAAAUAAUGUCGAGCUUGUUUAGUACGUAGAUGGGUGAUUGCUUGGUAAUUUAGGGGG